rnacentral:rRNA from 1 species
GCCAGACUCCUACGGGAGGCAGCAGUGGGGAAUAUUGGACAAUGGGGGGAACCCUGAUCCAGCGACGCCGCGUGAGUGAAGAAGUAUUUCGGUAUGUAAAGCUCUAUCAGCAGGGAAGAAAGAAAUGACGGUACCUGACUAAGAAGCCCCGGCUAACUACGUGCCAGCAGCCGCGGUAAUACGUAGGGGGCAAGCGUUAUCCGGAUUCACUGGGUGUAAAGGGAGCGUAGACGGCGACGCAAGUCUGGAGUGAAAGCCCGGGGCCCAACCCCGGGACUGCUCUGGAAACUGCGUCGCUGGAGUACGGGAGGGGCAGGCGGAAUUCCUGGUGUAGCGGUGAAAUGCGUAGAUAUCAGGAGGAACACCGGCGGCGAAGGCGGCCUGCUGGAUCGUGACUGACGUUGAGGCUCGAGAGCGUGGGGAGCAAACAGGAUUAGAUACCCUUGUAG